rnacentral:rRNA from 1 species
AUACGUAGGGUGCAAGCGUUAAUCGGAAUUACUGGGCGUAAAGCGUGCGCAGGCGGUCCGUUGUGUCCGAUGUGAAAGCCCCGGGCUUAACCUGGGAAUGGCAUUGGAAACUGGCGGGCUCGAGUGUGGCAGAGGGGGGUGGAAUUCCGCGUGUAGCAGUGAAAUGCGUAGAGAUGCGGAGGAACACCGAUGGCGAAGGCAGCCCCCUGGGCCAACACUGACGCUCAGGCACGAAAGCGUGGGGAGCAAACAGGA